AACGAACGCUGGCGGCAUGCCUAACACAUGCAAGUCGAACGAGACCUUCGGGUCUAGUGGCGCACGGGUGCGUAACGCGUGGGAACCUGCCCUUAGGUUCGGAAUAACUCCCCGAAAGGGGUGCUAAUACCGGUUAAUGUCUUCGGACCAAAGAUUUAUCGCCUUUGGAUGGGCCCGCGUUGGAUUAGCUAGUUGGUAGGGUAAAAGCCUACCAAGGCGACGAUCCAUAGCUGGUCUGAGAGGAUGAUCAGCCACACUGGGACUGAGACACGGCCCAGACUCCUACGGGAGGCAGCAGUGGGGAAUAUUGGACGAUGGGCGAAAGCCUGAUCCAGCAAUGCCGCGUGAGUGAUGAAGGCCUUAGGGUUGUAAAGCUCUUUUACCCGGGAUGAUAAUGACAGUACCGGGAGAAUAAGCUCCGGCUAACUCCGUG
rnacentral:rRNA from 1 species